AGUGCUACCGGGCGACCGGAUGCGGAUCUCGAAAGCCUGUCCCAGUUCGGACUGGAGUCUGCAACCCGACUCCACGAAGCUGGAUUCGCUAGUAAUCGCGCAUCAGCCACGGCGCGGUGAAUACGUUCCCGGGCCUUGUACACACCGCCCGUCAAGCCAUGGAAGCCGGGAGUGCCUGAAGUGCGUGAGCGCAAGCAGCGCCCUAAGGUAAAACCGGUGACUGGGGCUAAGUCGUAACAAGGUACC
rnacentral:rRNA from 1 species